rnacentral:rRNA from 1 species
UACGUAGGGUGCGAGCGUUGUCCGGAAUUAUUGGGCGUAAAGGGCUCGUAGGCGGUUUGUCGCGUCGGGAGGGAAAACCCAGGGCUUAACCCUGGGCUGGCUUCCGAUACGGGCAGACUAGAGGUAUGCAGGGGAGAACGGAAUUCCUGGUGUAGCGGUGAAAUGCGCAGAUAUCAGGAGGAACACCGGUGGCGAAGGCGGUUCUCUGGGCAUUACCUGACGCUGAGGAGCGAAAGUGUGGGGAGCGAACAGG